ACUUUCAAACUAUGAUCUGAAGUCA
rnacentral:rRNA from 1 species